rnacentral:rRNA from 1 species
CCUACGGGAGGCUGCAGUGAGGAAUAUUGGUCAAUGGGAGAGAUCCUGAACCAGCCAAGCCGCGUGAGGGAAGACUGCCCUAUGGGUUGUAAACCUCUUUUGUCGGAGAACAAAACCCGGGACGUGUCCCGGGCUGCGUGUAUCCGAAGAAAAAGCAUCGGCUAACUCCGUGCCAGCGGCCGCGGUAAUACGGAGGAUGCGAGCGUUAUCCGGAUUUAUUGGGUUUAAAGGGUGCGUAGGCGGUCCGUUAAGUCAGCGGGAAAAUUGCGGGGCCAAACCCCGUCGAGCCGUUGAAACUGGCAGACUUGAGUUGGCGAGAAGUACGCGGAAUGCGCGGUGUAGCGGUGAAAUGCAUAGAUAGCGCGCAGAACUCCGAUUGCGAAGGCAGCGUACUGGCGCCAGACUGACGCUGAGGCACGAAAGCGUGGGGAUCGAACAGGAUUAGAUACCCUUGUAGUC